rnacentral:rRNA from 1 species
UACAGAGGGGGCGAGCGUUGUUCGGAAUUACUGGGCGUAAAGGGCGCGUAGGCGGCCUGUUAAGUCGAACGUGAAAUCCCCGGGCUCAACCCGGGAACUGCGUCCGAUACUGGCAGGCUUGAAUUCGGGAGAGGGAUGCGGAAUUCCAGGUGUAGCGGUGAAAUGCGUAGAUAUCUGGAGGAACACCGGUGGCGAAGGCGGCAUCCUGGACCGAGAUUGACGCUGAGGCGCGAAAGCCAGGGGAGCAAACGGG